AUUGAACGCUGGCGGCAGGCUUACCACAUGCAAGUCGAGCGAGCGGCGGACGGGUGAGUAAUGUAUGGGAAACUGCCUGAUGGAGGGGGAUCACUACUGGAAACGGUAGCUAAUACCGCAUACCAUCAGAUGUGCCCAGAUGGGAUUAGGUAGUAGGUGGGGUAAAGGCUCACCUAGGCGACGAUCCCUAGCUGGGCUGAGAGGAUGACCAGCCACACUGGGACUGAGACACGGUCCAGACGCCUACGGGAGGCAGCAGUGGGGAAUAUUGCACAAUGGGCGCAAGCCUGAUGCAGCCAUGCCGCGUGUGUGAAGAAGGCCUUCGGGUUGUAAAGCACUUUCAGCGAGGAGGCGUUACCCGCAGAAGAAGCACCGGCUAACUCAGUGCCAGCAGCCGCGGUAAUAC
rnacentral:rRNA from 1 species